UGAUGGUAUGAUUGCUCGUAGUGAGGCUACUGGAGUUUGAUUGACACAUAAACAUGACCUCAUUGAGAUCUUGUAGUGGAUGUUGAUGACAGUUGAUUUACUAUAGGAGUAGGGUGCACAACUAGAUGAAAUCUAUCAAUCUUGAUAGAGAGUAGUCUUAUAAGAUUUGAGAGGCUAAGUCUGAGAGUCUAUGGUCAUAGUAGUGUGAUUG
rnacentral:lncRNA from 1 species